rnacentral:lncRNA from 1 species
UCAAUUUUAAGAACAAGUAGUAAUUCUUUAGGAAUGCCUUUGAAUCUGUACUCCUUUCUGUAGCCAUAUUAGCAAUGUGAUCUGCAACUUGGUUUCUUUCCUUUGGAAUAUGCUUUAUCUUCUAUUGUUGCAAUGCUUGUAAGCUUAUAUGGAUUGUAACGUCCUAUUUUUGCCUGGGGCCCAAUAUGACCCAAACCAAAAUCAAGCAAAAAUUAAAACCCAAUUAGAAUGUCGGUCCAUUUACAACAGGCCCAAUAUGGCCCAACAAAACCCAAAACAAAAAACAAGCCUAGAGUCCCAACCCAAAUCAAAAUUAACCCUAGCCCAAAACUAAACCCUUUUUAGCCAAAAAACCCUAGGUGCGCCGCACCUAGGUCUGCCCCUAGCCGCCAGCCUCCUUGCACACCCUCUGCCACCAUUGUCGGCCACGGGUACCUGCAGAAGAAAGGAUCACAUGCAACAACACAAUCCAAAUCGCAAACGACAAAAAAAUAGAAGUUUAAGGAUUUUAAAAUCGGUUAUAUAAGCCGAAUACGAGCAUUGUAAUGAUUUCUUCCUUUUUUACGAACAUUAGAAAAAUAAAAACAGAAAACAAGUUUCGAAGGUAUAUUUUCUUUUUUUUUUUCUAUUUUUUUUACAUACAACUAGUAAGAACAAAGAAAGAGAAAGAAAAACCUCGCCUGGAAUAGUCCCUCAAGUCUGGUCGUCGGAGUCCCUUUUUCCCGUUGUCGGAAUCGGACCUAAAAGGAGGGCUAGGGGUGCCCUCUCUUGGUCUUUUAGGCCAAAGAAGGUUGGAUCUUUGAGCACACCAAAAAACCGGGGUUGAAAUGCCUCUUUUGCGCAACGCCGGCCACCGGUCAUGGUGGCACUACAGCGGCGCUCACGGCCGAAACUCUAGGCCGAACGGGGUGGGGAGCUCUCUGAAAUUUUUUUUUAAAUGAG